GCCUCAUAUAACGGCGGAGGGCGGCGCGCCGCGGUCCUAGCGCACGCCGGUUUCGCGCACUGCGCGGCUGGGGUAGCGCCCCGCCCCGGCCCGGAAACCGCCGGGAAGGGGACCCCGGAGCCCACCGCUCUGGGUUCCCAGUCCGUGCAGCAGUGGCCACGUACCUCGUCCCUUCCGCACCCCUGCUGGAUCUGGAAGGAAGCAGGGAAGACAAGAAAAACACGAGUGAAGCAAAAAUGUCCUGGUUUGAGAACUAAAAUGGAAAAGAGACUGAAAUCCCAGGUGUCCUAUGUGGAAAAGGCCACUGCUUCUACACACCAACAAGAGAGGAGAAUGAAAAUCGGCCACGCCGGUAGCUCACGCCUGUAAUCCUAGCAUUUUGGGAGGCCGAAGCAGGUGAAUCACUUGAGGCCAGGAGUUUGAGACCAGCCUGGCCAACAUGGCGAAACCCCGUCUUUACUAAAUAUACAAAAAUUAGCUGGGAGUGGUGGUGCACUCCUGUAAUCCCAGCCACUCGGGAGGCUGAGGUACAAGAAUCAGUUGAAGCCAGGAGGCGGAGGUUGCAGUGAACCGAGAUCACGUCACUGCACUCCAGCUUGGGCGACAGAGCAAGACUCCGUCUAAAAAAAAAAAAAAGCCAGGUGCGUGGCUCACACCUGUAAUCCUAGCACUUUGGGAGGCUAUGGUGGAUCACAAGGUCAUGAGAUCGAGACCAUCCUGGACAAUACGAUGAAACCCCGUCUCUACUAAAAUUAGCUGGGCGUGGUGGCACAUGCCUGUAAUCCCAGCUUUUCGGGAGGCUGAGGCAGGAGAAUCGAUCGAACCUGGGAGUCCAAGGUUGUGCCGCUGCACUCCAGCCUGGGUGACAGAGCGAGACUCCGUCUCAAAGAAAAUCACCGAACAACAAAGGCCCGUUAAAUGCCUGUAAUCAGCACUUUGGGAAGGUGAGGCAGGUGGAUCACUUGAGGAAACCAUUUGGCACCUCCUCUGGAACGAAGGCAUGGCGGGGCACUUGAGAUCUGGCUGUUGAGGCAGAGGUAGUGCACGUGACCCACGCAGUGAGGUCUGCUCCCCGCUGCUGCAGCCAUCUGCGAUGGAGACCGUGAGUGUACACAGGCAGUGCCAUCUGAAGGGAACUCCGCUGCCUCUAUGUGCUACUGAGGCAGGGGCGACUGAGCCGGAGACUGGAGAAAUGUGUCCGUCUUCACGGACAGCCUGGCUUAGCUGUCCGUGGCUGCCUCCCGCCGUGGAGGAGCACACUGGAGUGGCCCGUGCAGUGGACCAGAGCUUCCACCCACACUGUGUUCUGUCUCCUUUCCUAGAACACAACUGGACGACGUUUCCCACCUCCGUGCAAAAUGAGAGUGGACAUCAGGGGUGCCACUUCCACACCUAGCUCAUGGAAGCUCCCAGAUGGUCUCGGCCCUCCAUGCUCCCCGCUACUUCAGGCUGGAUGGAGACGGACGGCUCAGGGUGCUCUGUCUCUGAUGCCUGCAUGAGCGCUGCCCUGCCAGCCCAUUCCCCUGCCCAAUAUUAUGGAAGCAAAAACGUUCUAUGGUGUUUGAGCCAUUGUUGCUCGGGUCUAUUUAUUACAGAACUAGCAUAGCCCUAAUACAGUCAUUGCUACGUGGCCAUAAUACAUGUAUUCUAUAAUUGCACAUAAUUUUAUUCACCGAAGGGAUGUCCUUUACUUUCAAGAUUCUGAAUUUUUCAGAAAUGCAACAUUCAAGGUUAAAGUUGCUGCUAGACCAAGGCUAAACCAUGGCGAGGUAGUUGCUUGCGCCGGAGAGUGUGGGUGUGAACAGCUGGAGCUCAGUGGUUCCUGGCGACUCAGGGACCACCUGUAUUCCACAUCCGGCCUCCCACCCAUGCACACGCAGUAUGACCUGGGUUUCCCUUUUAUCCAGUGGAAUGCUAAGUGCCUACACCCUAGCUGGGGUCAGCCAACUAUGGCCUGUGGGCAUCAUCCCGCCUGCAGCCUGUUUUUGUACAGCCCUUGAGCUAAGAAUGUUGUUGACACUUUUAAAAACAGAGAACAUGUGACAGUCUGUACGCGGCCUGUAAAGCCUAAACUCUUUACUAUCUGCGUCUGCCUUAUAGGAUUGCUGGGAGGAUUACAAAGACUUUAUUAGGCCAGUGCCUGGCUCAAAGUUAGCAUGCCACACAAAAUAAUACAUACAGUACAGCUAUUCACGUCUCCAAAAAGCAAUUGUCCCACAUCCAAAUUUUGCAUUUUGUCUAGUUGAUGUCUCUCCUUCCCUCCAAAAAAAAAAAAAAAGACAAAAUAAAAACAUGAAGAGCUGCAUGUUCAUCAUCAUGGUCACAGACACUUUUCGGUUAAAAAGUUGCUGGUGGUCUGAGUUCACUUACUUGGAGUAUGGACUAAGGAGGGGAAAGCAAAGAGAUGCGUGACAUCAGCAGCAGAAAGCCUGCGACACGGCAGCUCUGCUCAGUUUUCUCCAUGGGGAAAGACCGUAACACUUACAAAUGAGAACAGGGCUUUAAGUAGAUAGUAUGCAAUGGAAAACUGAGCUAGCAACAGUACUUAAUGCUGGUUUUCUCAAUAAAAUCAUUUUGCUGUGUAAAUGCGCUUAUAAUGGGGAUCUGUUAUGAGUCUCAGGCAGGCGACAUGAAAGCCGGCCUUUCAAAAUCUGAUUAGGUGGAUAAUGUUUGCAAACAUGACGCCUGGCAAAACCGGUCUGAUUCUAAGGUAAACUCAUUUUGGACAUAACUGAUGUCUCACUGAGCUAGCUUUUCAAAGCAUGUCUGCGAACACCGGACCCCCGGGGAUGGUUUGUGCGUGUAGGGGAGGGAAAUUCCGGGGUUUAAUAUAUCAAGAUGACACACACGCUGCACACUUCUCUUAGAAAGUCACGACGCACAGUACUGUGCAUUACAGGUAUGGAGAAACACCACCAUAGAGUCAGUUGACUUUGUUUAACCUAUAACCUUUUUUCCUCCCACAUAGUAGGUAGUAACAUCACACAGAAACAGUGCUCUGGGGACAUUUUGGACACAUCGUAUACAGCGCAGCCAUUCAAAUCAACGGCAACAGAACGCACGAAGAACCUGGUUUUCUUUCAAAGCAUGAGCAGUUCUCAUUUUACAACAUGUGUUUUAACAUAAUUCAAAAAGUGCAAUCUUUGCAUGACAACCAGAUAAUUCUCAAAGGUUACUAGUGAGCUGAUAAAAUUAACGUUUGGCAAGGAGGUCAUGGUUUACAAGUAGGCUGUCCGCUCACCAAUGCUCAGAAAAAUUCAGAACAUACUUUUCAUAUUUAGAUCCGAAGAGAGGGGAGAGACAUUCUACUCAAGUCAUGGCUGGGCUUUCUGUCCUGAAACGAAAUUGGGCAGGCCAUUUGCGUGGUUUCUCUGGAUAAGUUCCAUUUAUUGAUCAGUGUACAAAAAAAUCUUGGCAUUCAUUUGAAGAGAAAAGAAGUUGCUAUAUCCAAAUAUUUAACAUUUUAACAUUGUGAAAGUUCAACGUUUAUAACAGGGCUUUUUAAAAUGGAGAAAAGUUUUGGAAAAUUUUUAAAAAGAAACUUAUGAUUUAUUAGAGUACAGGAUCCAAAACACGUUUUUAGAAAAAUAUAAAGUGCCCAAAUACCAACUUACACAGGUGAUACAGGCUUCCUGGAGCCCCAUGAAGCAUUCAUGAAGAAAGACAUUUAAAAACAGUCUAGAUACAUAUUUACAGCUGGGUCAGUAAAGGUAAAACCAUCUUUCUUGACUUUGAUGUGUCUAAGAAAAAAGGAAAUCAAUCAAACCAGAAAACCAACAAUUCCAACUCUCAGCAUGCUCAGGUUCUUAUUAAUGCAUCUCAUUCAUAUUAAUUAAUUCCACAUUAUCGAACUUUCCCCUUUAAAUCAGAGUAGUGUACAAUCCUCCCAACCUCAGCGGGCCAGGUGCUGUGAGUGGUCACAUUUCCAGAUGCAGGUUCAAAUCCUUUGAUUUUGGAUUUGACUGAUGAGGAACAUGGACAGUGGAUAAUAGCUCAUUCAGGCUGGAGGAGCCAGGGGCCAAAUCCCCAUCUCUUUCUAGUAACUGCUUCAAGCCUUCCCCUGCUAUGAAGUGGUCUUAGGUGGCUUUCCAAACCUCGGUCACCCCAGGGUUUCCAAAGGGUAAACAAGCAGCAGGCAUUCAACAUGGGUGAGAAUACUGCAUGCAGAUGGACAGACAGGUGCACAGACAGGCCCCUAACGCCCCAUUCACUAGAGCAACUGCAUUAUUUUAAACGUUGAGAGCAAAGUAACUAGGUCCUAACUUCAGAAGUUAGCUUCUAUCGAUUAAUGACAAGAUUAGCUCGCUUGAGAACUGGCAGGCCGAGAGUUGGGGGAACUCCAGAGCUGCACGAAGACGUGCAGUUACUCUGGGCUCAGUUACUGAGAACUUCGGAAAGGAGCCAGUGCCGUCUGAACACAUGGUCAGGCUUUCCCAGAAGAUGCCACAACAGGCUUCGUCCUGCUGCCGUCACGACCCUGGCGGCUUGGAAAAGCAGAUUCCAACACGCACAUCUCCUUUCACACAAGUCCAACACUCUUCAAAUGAAAGACAUUCUCUCUUUCUAACCUGCCACAUUCGAACAGGCCUUGAAGUGCCUCUAAGGAAUAACAAGAGGUGUGAAACCACUUUUUUUCCCUUCAAAACCUUUUUUUUUUUUUUAAGGUUCAUUAAUUUUUUUUUUUCCUGAUUACAAAAGCAAAACCUCAUUUUUUGGUCUUCGGAGACCAUGGAGUAU